UACGGAGGGUGCAAGCGUUGUUCGGAAUUAUUGGGCGUAAAGCGCGUGUAGGCGGUUUGUUAAGUCUGGUGUGAAAGCCCUGGGCUCAACCUGGGAAGUGCAUUGGAUACUGGCAAACUUGAGUACGGGAGAGGAUGGUGGAAUUCCGAGUGUAGGGGUGAAAUCCGUAGAUAUUCGGAGGAACACCGGUGGCGAAGGCGGCUAUCUGGACCGAUACUGACGCUGAGACGCGAAAGCGUGGGGAGCAAACAGG
rnacentral:rRNA from 1 species